CUCAUACACACAGCUUCCAGCCCCAGCUGUCUGGGCCAAAAUGGGGAUCAGCAAAGCUGUCUGUCUUUUGCAUUUCUAUGCUCUGCUUUUUCAGUGAAAUUUUCACUCAUGUGGGGUUUGAAGAAAAAUACUGCAGAAAUCCUGAUGGGAAUGAAAAUAGACCAUGGUGUUUCACCAGAUCUGCUACCAGAUUAGAUUACAGUGGCAUCCCAGAGUGUAAAAUCCAGAUACUGCUGCUCGUUCACCUACCAAUGCCACACUCUUGAGUCUGCUGGAGUGGGAUCGUGUUCAACUUGGUCACGUUUCUGCCUGAUUGCUAUUAAAAGGAAGUGCAGAAUACACUUCAGGAGUCUAAUUAUAUUUGAAAAUGUAUUAUCAAGAUGCUGAUAUGUCAACACAUUCUUCAAGUCCAGAGGAGUGCUAUUGAGAGAGAGAGGCUUGGGUUACCAUGGAACAGUUUCUUUUACUUUCAUGGGAAAGAAAUGCCAAGCCUGGAGCUUGGUGAUGCUACAUCAUCACAACAGAACAGCAAGGGAUUUCCCAAAUGUGGAGACAGCGGAAGACCUUUUGUUUGUCUUGUCCAAGACAGUUUUGUCCAAUAUGCCCUCACCUCUUGGGAUCUUAGUUGUACUGUGCCGAAGAAACUUUCUGUCUUUGUCAGAGUUUCUAGUUACAGUUCUUGGAUUAAGUACGCGAUGGGAGCCAACUGAUCCUGGGAAUGGACUGCCCUCUCCUGGACAGCAGCAUGCAUAUUUGAAAUAUGAGAUUCCAAGUGCUACAUUAAAAUUAUAUUAAAUUUUAAGAAUAAAAAUUCAAUAUAAUCCAUUAUAAAUUACUGUAAACUAACACUCUGAUAAGUAGCCAAACUGAUGGCUUGUUCCUCUCUUUCAGUAUGCUCUGUAUUUCAGUGCAUUCUACAAUAAAACCAGGUGAAGCACCCAUUCAAAACA